GGGGAAUAUUGCACAAUGGGGGAAACCCUGAUGCAGCGACGCCGCGUGAGUGAAGAAGUAUUUCGGUAUGUAAAGCUCUAUCAGCAAGGAAGAUAAUGACGGUACUUGACUAAGAAGCCCCGGCUAACUACGUGCCAGCAGCCGCGGUAAUACGUAGGGGGCAAGCGUUAUCCGGAUUUACUGGGUGUAAAGGGAGCGUAGGUGGUAUGGUAAGUCAGAUGUGAAAGCCCGGGGCUCAACCCCGGGACUGCAUUUGAAACUGCCAAACUAGAGUGCAGGAGAGGUAAGUGGAAUUCCUAGUGUAGCGGUGAAAUGCGUAGAUAUUAGGAGGAACACCAGUGGCGAAGGCGGCUUACUGGACUGUAACUGACACUGAGGCUCGAAAGCGUGGGGAGCAAAC
rnacentral:rRNA from 1 species